rnacentral:lncRNA from 1 species
CUCCAAUGGAAAAAGAACCUUCCCUUAAGGAGGCAGGGAGCAGGAUCCAAACGACUUAAUUUGAUUUUGC